rnacentral:rRNA from 1 species
UACGGAGGGUGCAAGCGUUAUCCGGAUUCACUGGGUUUAAAGGGUGCGUAGGUGGGCAAGUAAGUCAGUGGUGAAAUCUCCGGGCUUAACCCGGAAACUGCCAUUGAUACUAUUUGUCUUGAAUACUGUGGAGGUCAGCGGAAUAUGCCAUGUAGCGGUGAAAUGCUUAGAUAUGACAUAGAACACCAAUUGCGAAGGCGGCUGGCUACACAAAUAUUGACACUGAGGCACGAAAGCGUGGGGAUCAAACAGG